CUGUGAUCUUUGAGGGUACCUGCAGUCACAUGCACAUAGACAUAUAGAAACACACACAAAAUUAAAAAUUUUUAAAAAAUGCAUCCCACAUGGCAAAAGAUAUUCUUGGCCAUAACUACAUUUUGGGCAUAGUGUCCAACAACGGUGUUUUCAACUUGUGAAUCACUACAAGUCAGAGCUGUGGUACAAGCAAACGGUUUGUGUCUAAGAAGGUAAAGUUACUGGAGCUGGGGCAUGCAGCUUGAUUCGAACAGUGCCUGCACAGUGCCUUCCAAUCUGCCUAGCACGUACGUACACAACCCUAGGUUAGAACUCCAGAACUUCACAAAAUGUGUGUGAUGGCACAUAUCUAUAAUCCCAGCACUUGGGCGGUGAAGGUAGGUGAGACAGUUGCUCUGAGGCUAGCCUGGAAUACAUGGGAUCUUGUAUCACACAAGAGGGAAAAAAAAAAGGGAGCAAUUUCUCUCCCAGAAAUUCCCCAUCCCCAAGUGAUUUUGCUUUCACUAAAAGGCUAUGAAGAUAGACUUCAACCCUAUUUUUUCCAUCUGUCAGUAACAACAAAAUCAUCAGUGUGGUCAGAUCAGUCUCAUACCUUUGAUUGGCUUUGGGAAGCCUUCAUAAUCAAUGCCUGCUUUAAAAAAAAAAAAAAA
rnacentral:lncRNA from 1 species